GGUUCGAUGGCGUAGUUGGUUAUCGCAUCUGUCUAACACCAGCGCCUUGUACACAGAAGGUCCCCGGUUCGAGCCCGGGUCGAAUCA